GAUGAACGCUGGCGGCGUGGAUAAGGCAUGCAAGUCGAGUGGGUUUAGGCCCACGGCAAACGGGUUCGGAAUACAUAGGAAUCUUCCUCAGAGUCGUGAAUAAUUCGGAGAAAUCCGAGCUAAUACACGAUACGCUCUACGGAGUAAAGAUUUAUCGCUUUGAGAUGAGCCUGUGUCCUAUCAGCUUGUUGGUGAGGUAAAAGCCCACCAAGGCUAUGACGGGUAGGGGUGUGAGAGCAUGACCCCAACAUUGGAACUGAGACACUGUCCAAACACCUACGGGUGGCUGCAGUCGAGAAUAUUCCACAAUGGACGAAAGUCUGAUGGAGCGACGCCGCGUGUGGGAUGAAGGCCUUCGGUUGUAAACACUUUUCUAGGUAGCAAUUUCGAUGAGA
rnacentral:rRNA from 1 species